GACAGAGGUCCCGAGCGUUAGGCGGAAUCACUGGGCUUAAAGCGUGUGUAGGCGGAUCGUUAAGUGCCUCGUGAAAUCCCAUGGCUUAACCAUGGAACUGCUGGGCAUACUGGCGAUCUUGAGCCACUUAGGGGUUACCGGAACAAAUGGUGGAGCGGUGAAAUGCGUAGAUAUCAUUUGGAACGCCAAUGGUGAAAACAGGUAGCUGGGAGUGUGCUGACGCUGAGACACGAAAGCCAGGGGAGCGAACGGG
rnacentral:rRNA from 1 species